CGCCUCUUGAUUAAAUAUAAGAGGUCCAGCCUGCCCAGUGACAAAGUUUAACGGCCGCGGUACCCUAACCGUGCGAAGGUAGCAUAAUCACUUGCUCUUUAAAUGGGGGCUAGUAUCAAAGGCAUCACGAGGGUUACGCUGUCUCCUUUCUCUAAUCAAUGAACCUGAUCUCUUCGUGAAGAAGCGAAGAUAAUAAUAUAAGACGAGAAGACCCCAUGGAGCUUCAAAUUAAGCCUACAUCCAAACAGGUAAUUAGACCCAUUUAACCCGUUAGAACUGUAUGCUAGUUUUAGGCUGGGGCGACCGUGGAGAACAGCAAAACCUCUAUGACGAACGGAUUAACACCCUAAUACAAGAGCUACUCCUCUAAUAAUCAACACAUUGACGUAAGUUGACCCGACAAUCGAUCAACAGACCAAGUUACCCUGGGGAUAACAGCGCAAUCUACUUCGAGAGCCCAUAUCGACAAGUAGGUUUACGACCUCGAUGUUGGAUCAGGGUAUCCCAGUGGUGCAGCCGCUACUGAAGGUUCGUUUGUUCAACGAUUAAAACCCU
rnacentral:rRNA from 1 species